CCUAUGGAGAUUUAAAAAAAAAAAAAAAAAAAAAAAAAAGCAACAACAAAACACGGAAGUGAAAAUAAAUAAAGUGGUUAGGGCACUUACAUUUCUAUGAUUUCCAUCUCCGUUUAAAGAUAGCAGAAGUUUUGUUUUUCCUCUACAAUAGCAUUCAGUGGCCAUAUCCUCUGGAUACCCUUCUUGUGAGUCUAGAUAUAACUAUUUAAAAAACUUACAGUUUUUCUUUUGUAGAUCUUAUUCCAGUCUCUGCAUAUAUUCACACUACAGAGGCUCAUGUCAAUCUUCGAGGAUUGCUGCAAUAUGUGUGCAGUUUAAGGCCGGAAUCGAUCUUCUGACCCCCUACACAGCCUCUCUUUGAGAGAGAGACAAGAAACUGCAACUGGCAUGGGUCAGCUCCAUUCAGAUUGAAUGUUUUCCACAUCAACAAGACUUCGGCACAGAAUUAACCAGCACUGUUCUUGGACCGCUGCCUCCUUCCCUCCCUGUCUGUCCAAGUUGUGCAGUCAUACGUUCAUCAGUGUCCUACUGCUAUCAGUAAUUCUCAAGGGAAAUCAUAGAAUCAUUCACGUUAGAAAAGAUCAUUAAGUUCAACCAUCAACCCAUUCACCACCCUGCCCCCUAACAAUGUACUAAAAUGCCACGUCUACAUGUUUCUUGAACACCUCCAGGGAUGGUGAUUCCACCACCUCCCUGGGCAGCCUGUUCCAGUGCCUCACCCCUCUUUCUGAGAAGAAAUUAUUCCUAGUACUCUACCUGCGCCCCUUGGCGCAGCGUAAAGCUUUUGUCCUACUACUGUUACAUGGGAGAAGAGGCUGACCCCUAGUUUGCUGCAGCCUCCUUCUGGGUCAUUGUUAAGAGCGAUAAGGUCUCCCCCGAGCCUCUGAAAAUGUUUUCAUCCCUAGUGUUUGUUAUGCAGCUCUGAAGCUCUACUAUACGUGUGCAUUAUGUACUAUAAUGUACUAUACAUUAUGAAACUGAUGAAACUAUGGAGUCUCUGUGAGACAUUUCACUUUAGCAGUUCUCUGCAUCACAUGCAUCUCUAAGACAUAUGGAGUGUGGUGACACAAAGGUUCUCAGAAAGAAGCCCUGGAUAACAGGAAAGCCAUGUUAGUAUGUGUAACCUUAUAAUGUCUGUGCACACUGGAGCCUUCUUGAUCUGAGCAUUUCAUCACUUCGGACUACACUGUGUGAACAGCAAUGGUUUUAAAGGAUCUGGUGGGAGUGAGGAACAUACAACCCUCACUUCUUUGAUACAACUUCCCAAAUGCAGUUUUCUCCUCUGGGAUGACCAAAGACACCAUUCUGUUGCAUGUGGAAAGCAUUCCUGUGAUUUAAGUAUCCUUCGGUUAUUAGAGUUCCAAUCAUUGGUCCACAUGAACAGUUGGGACCUGUGGUGGCUAAGGGCCUGGAGCUGAGAAGGAUACCUCCUUAUGUCCCAAGAUCAAAGAAAGCCAUAAUGAACAAGUUCAACUCAGAGCUCAAUUCCUGAAGAGUAGACUGGAUUUGGGAUGAUCUGCGUUUGUGUCCUCAGCUCUGAUGUGCAGCCUCUGACUCUACCAGCCCUGCUAUAAGAAGGCUGGUUCUCCUCUGCUUCGUGCCUUGGGCUCAGCCUUUUACCCUUCUGGGAGACUUCAUGCCAAUAGUCAGCCACCUGAGCAAGCAGGCGACAAAUGCCAAGAGCAGGGCUCUGGGGCACCAGAAGCAGGAGACAUAGGGCCCACAGCUUUGGGCCUUUCACACUCAGCUCCUUAAGCGCUUCAGGGGCAACAUCUGAGGUUAUGCCAGAGUCACUUUCAGCUGUAGGGAAGGAAACAAGUUUUCUGUGACUUCACUAAGGUUGUCUAAUAAGAAAAAUGUGAGAAACAGCUGCCUUCUUUAAGAGUACUGGCCUGCUGGGGUACAUGAACCAUAGAGUCCUCUCCAGAUAGAGAGCUGGGAGCAUAACCAACUCCUGACUUAAUGGUGCCAGCCCACUUCUGAAAGCAGCUUCACAUUUGGAUAGAGCCUAGGAAAAUUCAUACUGAAAGGAAUCCCCCUAAAUCUCUAGUUUGAUUUCUUCCUUUGAGGUCAAAGUUAGGCAAGGUUUUUAUCCAGUCUGGCCUCCAGAUGGAGAUGACACUUUGCUCAGGGUAGGUGAAGACUGAUCUGCUGGCUCCUGGUUACCAGAAUCUGAACAGCUACCACAGGAAUAGGGCAUGGAGGAGAAGCCUAAGCAUAGAAUGCUGCUCAUCUCAUAAAAAAAAUAAAAUUGAGACAGACAUGAGAGCUUCCUGGGGUGGUCUCUCUAAAGCACUGGGUUUUGAGUUGUCCCCGUUCUUACAAAACAGUUAGGAUGUUACCUGGUCCAAGAAAAGUCCGAGGUUUAGACUACUUAUUUAGAAGAUGAAGAUUGAGUGCUUUGACAUCGUAUAUAAUUCAGUAUUUUUUUUUUUAUUUUCAUUUUUACAACAUGGCACAACUUUAACAGCAGACCAAAAGAGACUGAAGUUUCACAGCAUAAUAUAGCUGCAAAAGGGCACUGUUUUGUCCCAUACUGUGCACAUACACCCUAAACUACUAUCUUCUGUUCCUACAGUAAGGAAGAAAGUAUAUCAACACCACAGAUUCUGCUUGCUGUUUUUUUGCAAAGGGAAGUUGGACCUGCUUAGUUAUAGAAGAGGAAUCUAGCUGGAAGUCCCAUACAGCUGCUUUGUAGUUCUUCCUAGUUUCCCUCUUAUCCUUAAAUAACUCCUUACCCACUCUUUUCCUUCCACAGACAUAGUUGUCAGCACCAACCCCAUUUUCCUGCAUACAGCAAAACACUCCAGCUCCCCAAUCUCAAGCACUCACAUCAAAGGCUAUAAGGUUCAUAUUUUAGGCUCCCAUGUGUCUGGAGUGACACCUGAUGGGAGUGAUAUCCUAAUGAGCAUCAGGUGCAGCUCUGUAGGAAAUAAGCACUGAGCGGGAGCCCAUUUGUGGUUCCUUCAGCCCAGAUACCUACCAACUCCUCCCAGGUAAGGUGAGAUGGUGUGCCAGGCAUUGAUGCUGCCUUUCCUCAGGCACUGUCCUAGAGCAAGUUCAAGAUGCAGCAGUGGGAUUCCUUCAAAGAUAAGAGCGAUGAAGUAUGGGAUCAGGAAUGUCCCUGAAAACACAAUUAAGUGCAAUUAAGCCACACAGUUAUCUGCACCUUGUUCAAAUUGCUGUUAUUUCCUCUACUUCAUGACUGUAACAAAGUCCUUGUAGGAAAUGUUGAGAGAGGCAGUGGUGAUGUGGAUGCUUGCCCAGGAAUGGCUGCUGAUUGUGGGUUGUUUUGGUGGUGGUAAUGAAGGAGGAAGGGCCAGGGCUGCUAAUGCUGCAGGAUGCGUCCCCUCAGCAUUCUGACAUCUCAUGAACACAGAAGCUCUAAGGAUCUUCACCCUUUCCACUAUUUCCCUUUCUUUUGUUGGGGGAAUAGCAGCAGAUACACAAGCUAGAGAGUGGGAAGUUGGAAACUCUAAAAGCUUCUUAUUUUUUUAUGACUAGCCUUUGUAAAGCAUUAACAAUUACCACAGUUCUUGAAAGGCAGGUGUCAUUCCAUUCUGAUGUCUUUUUAUGUGAUCUCUUUUCUGCAGAAUGGUCAGACCAAAGCUGAGGGGCUGCCCUUUCCCCCUGGCAAAGCAAGGCUUUGCAAUGGAAGCCCCCAGGACACCACAUUUCUGCGUGAUGUUCUACAUGAGUCUGUUGGUGUUGGGUAACUGGAAACAAGCCAAAAACUGUUCUGUGAGCUGUGGGAGCAAUUACAUCUGGUUUCAUCCAGGUUUGGAUCCUUUGUCUUCUACAUCUUUCAUCUUUUUCUCUGUUGAACAGGAGGCAGCACGUGUUUCUGGCUGUUGCACGAUGGUGUGCGCUGUCUUGGGUCUCCGUUCUUUACACAGACAAUGAUUUUCAUGAGACCAAGUGACAUCUCACUGUCCUGAAAGGCCACUGUGAGGUCUUCCUGGAGCCUUCUCUUCUCAAAGCUAAACAAGCCCACCUCAGCCUUUCUUCAUAGGAGAGGUGCUCCAGUUUUCACGUCAUCUUUGUGGCCCUCCUCUGGACCUGCUCCAACAGCUCAAAGGCUUGAAGGGCACGAUCUUUGUGUAGUACCUACAUGUGGCAGUCUGGAAGAAAAGAGCAUGAACUACAAGAGAGCCUGUCGAGAGGUGCUCAUGGCUGUAUGGCUACACCAGCAAGCAGAAUGCCAAAGAAACUGAUGAUGAAGAGCCAUCUAGCACUGAGUCACAGUAACCAGCAAGCUGAAGGGGAAGCAGAGCAUUGCGUCAACAAGUAGAGUGGUGAUAACAUCACCUCAAGGAUCACCUUCCAUUCACUCAGCAAGCAAAGAUGUAUACUAGCUGUAAUCAGGUGCAACUUUGUAGUAUGUUAGUUGGAGGUUUUUUUGAAGUAUUUUCAGAUGACUAUAUAUGUACAUAUGUAUGUAGAUAUAUUGCUAUAUGACCUGUUUGAGUCUCAGUUCUAGGUGACAAAAAACAUACCAGGCCAUUUAGAAAUAUCUUUUCAAUCCCAGUUGCCUGGGAACCUUUGUAUUUGUCUCUGCUCACUGUGGCAAACAACCUUCAUAUCCAUUAGUCAUGAAAAGUAAAUAGCUAACUUAACUCAGGCAAUAAAUCCAAAUAAUCAGUAAACGAAAGCAGGUGAUAAAUGUCAGCAAAACUGAUAUUAUAUUAGAUCCAAGUUACUGAGUAACACUAAUGUGCGAUGAAUAAGGUUCAGAGGUCUGAGGAGAACAGCUGACAUGAGACAAAUAUACAAGCACUUAUUUUUAUCUCGUUUUUUAAAAGAUCUAGAAAUGAGGAAAAGUGCAUUGUCUAACUCUUAAACACCUGGAUCAUUAGUGAAAAUGUGAUCUACAACCCAGAAGCCAUUCAGCUAUAGACUGAGUCUUCUGUGCCAUUUCCAUACCAGUUUUUGCUGUGCUCGUGUUGGGGCUGAGGUGCCAAGCCACCACCUCUUGGGUCUCAUAGUUAACCAUAAUGCUGCUGUUCACAUCUUCAGAUACGCUCCAGUGCACCUGAAAAUCUACUGGGCUUUUGCAUCUGAGUUGUUUGCUUUCAAAAGUGUAACCCCAAAUUGUAUCUCUGCCUAAAAUUGGCAGAAUGAAAAUGCAAUCACAUUGGGCACAUGUGUAAACAUAACAGCUCUGUCUUCUUGGUGGUCUUCAUCAAUCACUUAAAUUCUCCCAACACCUGCUGUCCAGGAUGAAUUAUUUAUCAAGCCCACAGAAUUUUGUCAGCAAAUUGUUAUAGUCAUCAGCUGAGCUCUCUGAGCCCUUACUUAAAAUCCAAUGACCAAACACUGGCCGUGCGUCCAUACGCUGAGCUUUAUUCACCACUGUCUUUGUGCCACUGGUUGUAGUAAUGCAGAGUACCUGUAUCAUAGAAUGAUCUGAGUUGGAAGGGAUCCUUAAAGACCAUCCCUUCCAACUCCCCUGCAACAAACAGGGACACCUACAGCAGAUCAGGCUGCUCACAGUCCCCUCCAGCCUGACCGUGAGUGUCUCCAGGGAUGGGGCAUCCACCACUUCUCUGGACAACCUGUUCCAGUGCCUUGCCACCCUUAAAUACUCUGGAUGGUGUCACAGACUCUGCUUGCUUGCUAUUUUUUAUCAUUUUUUUCACUGAUAAAAUGAAGUGAAAAAGUGAAAAAGCUCAAAGUGAAAAAGAAUACUCAGCCUUUGUCCCUGUAGCUUUUCCCCAUUUUUAUUAUCUUUAAAACUGUUGUAGGACUGCCUUUUUUGUCGCUACCAGUGCCUGUGAGAUAUGUCAGUGCCAACACAAGUAACCUGACUUUCUGGUCACAGCGUGAUCUGUAAGAAAGGUUUCCUUGCCCUCGGCCUUGUGGCCUACCUGGUAUGGGAGCAAUGUGUAGGGCAAGGAUGCAGGAGGAGAGUGUUGGGUGGUGUACAUAACUUUUGUGCCCUUUCUUAUUCUCCUCAUUCAUUUCAGUCUCUUUCAUUGUGAAAUGGUUGCCUUAAACGUUGGGCAUGAGCACAUGAGAGUGUCAGACUGGGUUUGUCUGAGUCUAAAUACAUGGAAAGCAUUGGACCACAGAAACAGGUGGAGUAGAAAAGCCAUGCCCAGCACAAUCCCUGCUGAGCUGAGUGUCUGAAACCAAAGGCAGAGAGAAACCUGUGACUGCCCUCCUGCCCAGGCUGUUGGUAGCUACCUGUGCUUGGCAAUAGCAUGACAUGCCACUGGCUUACCAGGUGUCGUCAGUGUUCUUCUUAGCCCUCUCCAUCCUACACAUUCUCUUAAGUUGUUAACUUUCCAUAGAGGGGCCCAGACUUAUUUCCUGGCUUCCUGUAGUUAAGAUGCUUAAUUAAAGACGAAUUUUAUGAGUCAUUUGAAAAUGUGCUAGCAUAGGAUUUAGCAUGGCACCAAGCAACUUUCCUUUUUCUUGUCAUUAGCACAGGUCAUUGGUUCGCAUUUCCUAGAGCUUAGUGAGCUGUAGGACCGUACCUUUUUUCACUCGCAGUAAUAGUUUAGAGUGGGAUCAAAAAAUACCAGGGCACCUACAGGAGGAAAAAACUGAAAUCCAGUUCUGGAAAAGUGAAAUCCUGAAGAAUCUGUGUAAGUUGCUGGCUGUUCCCAAGAGAUGUGUGUUGCCUUGUCUUUGCUGUUCAGGCUGUCCUGAGACUCAAAGAUGCUGCUCUAGACAUGCUGGGUGCUGCUCGGUUGCCUGCUCUCAGGCAUCCAAGACCACCUGAGAUGCUGCAGGGUGUUUGUCCAACUCCAGAACACCCUCCCUUCAGCCAUGCACUGUUUCUGCAUUGGAGAUGUACCUCUAAAGGUGUGUGUCCUGCCUUACUGUGUGUGUGUCAUUAGCUGCAGUGACAGGCUUUUUCCAGCCAUUCCAAUUGACGGAGAAACAGCAUGCUCACAGCUAUGGCUUUCUAGCCACCCGGUUAUGGCAAGCAGCUGAGAGCGCUUCACUGGGUUUCACAUCUUGAAUAUAAAUAAUAUAAAGUCUCCUGAGAGACUGCUGCUUCUUUUUUCUUACUUUAAUUACUGCAACAGUGGCUUCCAGCUGUUACAUCUUCACUGCUAAGGAGCCCCUUGCUGUCAAAAUAAUUUCCAUGUCCUCAUCUAUAGACUAUGGCAAAUAGAUUCAUUCGUUUUCAACUUUGUGAGUUAAAUGGGCCGGAUGCUUAACUCACUCCACAUACCAUGCAUUUUCCACAUCUGAAAUAAGUCUUGAGGAUCUUCUGCAUUUUUUUUCGUCUAGAUUUUGAAAAGUGGGCACAGAGGUUGUGUUAGUAGCAAUAUCUCCAUCUGUUUCCCAGUGCAUUGUGUAUGCGUGGUGGGAUACUUCAUGCUGAGACGGCCUGCUUGAUUUCAUUUAUUCAGAAGCUCACAGAGUCCUUCUGUGGCUGCUUCUUUCUUAAAUACCACCUGCUAUUGAUGGCAGCAUCAGUUUGUGGUUCCCUAGCUUAUUCAAAUACAUGUAGUUCAUGAAGCAAUGCAGAUACCUUGAUAGAAUUAGAUUGUUUGUUUGUUUGUUUGUUUUGCCAUUUGCAUGUUUCUCCCAGUUUGAAUUUUGUACUUAUGCUGCCAAUUGAAAGAUAACAAAUAAAACUGGGCUUAAAGAA